GCUACAGCAAAAGACUAACUAGACCUAAGUAUAUGUGUUAGGGUUAGUCGAGCAUGUUUGACUUCCACUCUAGGUAUAUGUGCUAGAGCAAAAGACUGACUAGACCCUAAGUAUAUGGGUUUGGGUUAGUCGACCAUGGUUUGACUUCCACUCUAGGUAUAUGUGCUAGAGCAAAAGGCUGACUAGACCCUAAGUAUAUGUGUUAGGGUUAGUCGGAUGAACUCUAAGUAUAUAUGUCAGAGUUCGAAUAAACUUGCUAUCAUUUGACUGAAUUCUAAGUAUAUGACUUAGAACUCUGUCGAUUUGGAGAUGUUUUGCCUUAGUUAUAUGUGCUAAGGCGAUUGACUUAGCCCUAAGUAUAUGUAUUAGGGGUAGUCGAUAUUUAAUUUUUACUCUAGGUAUAUGUGCCAGAGUAAAAAAAGGUUCACGAUGAGAUUUGGGUAUUGGUUCAUGAGAUUUGAGUAUUGGCUCAUGAGAUUUGGUUCAUGAAUUUGGUGUAUGGACUUGGUUCAUGAACUUGGAUAUGGUUCAUAGAUUUGGUGUAUGGACUUGGUUCAUGAACUUGGAUAUGGUUCAUGGAUUUGGUGUAUGGAUUUGAUUCAUGAACUUGGAUAUGGUUCAUGGAUUUGGUGUAUGGAUUUUAUUCAUGAACUUGGAUAUGGUUCAUAGAUUUGGUGUAUGGAUUUGGUUCAUGAACUUGGAUAUGGUUCAUGAAUUUGGUGUACGGACUUGGUUCAUGGUUCAAGAAAUUUGGGUUUAGUUUAACGACUUUUCGGUCGUUUGGAUUUGGGUUUAGUUUAACGACUUUUCGGUCGUUUGAAAUUUGGGUUUAGUUUAACGACUUUUCGGUCGUUUGAAAUUUGGAUUUAGUUUACCGACUUUUCGGUUGUUUGAAAUCGAGAUGUUCAUGAAGCUGAUUCAUGAAAUUAAUUCAUGCUAGGAGCCCAUUUGUAAAGUCCAUUGAAUUAAUUGAUGAAAUUAAUUCAUGAUAGGGGCCAUUUGGAGAGCCCAUUGAAUUAAUUCAUGAUAAGGAGCCAUUUGGAGGGCCCAUUAAUUCAUGAAAUUAAUCUAUGACAAGGAGGGCUCAUAAAAUUAAUUCAUAGAAUUAAUCCGUGAUAAAGGGCCUAUUUGGCAAACCCAUGAAAUUAAUUUGUCAAAUUAAUUUGUCGAAUUAAUUCAUGAUAGAGGGGCCUUUGGAAAGCUCAGGAAGUUAAUUCAUAGAAUUAAUUCAUAAUAAAUGGCCCAUUUGGAAAGCCCAUGAAUUCGGUUUAGGUUGGAGGUAUUUGGAUGACAUAGGUUUGGUAGGUUUGAUUGGGUUUUAUUUAUGGACUUUGGAUUUUGGAUCUUUGGUUUUUGGAUAUUUAUUUGUGGACUUUGGAUUUUUUGGGAUUUUGUUUGUGGGCUUUUU
rnacentral:lncRNA from 1 species